rnacentral:rRNA from 1 species
UCGCUACUACCGAUUGAACGGUUUAGUGAGUUCCGAGGAUUCAGCGCUUCAGGGUCUUGUAUCCUGUUGUGAUGGAGAGCAGGUGCAAACUUGAUCGUUUAGAGGAAGUAA